UACGGAGGAUGCAAGCGUUAUCCGGAAUGAUUGGGCGUAAAGCGUCCGCAGGUGGCUAUGUAAGUCUGCUGUUAAAGAGUGAGGCUCAACCUCAUAAGAGCAGUGGAAACUACAUGGCUAGAGUGCGUUCGGGGCAGAGGGAAUUCCUGGUGUAGCGGUGAAAUGCGUAGAUAUCAGGAAGAACACCGGUGGCGAAAGCGCUCUGCUGGACCUGCACUGACACUGAGGGACGAAAGCUAGGGGAGCGAAAGGG
rnacentral:rRNA from 1 species